AGGUGAUUGAUGCCCGGUGAGAAGGUGAAAGUGACCUAUACCCCUGUCAGCUGCAUGAAAGGAACCAAGAGAAAGGUGAUUGAUGCCCGGUGAGAGGGUGAAAGGGACCUAUACCCCCGUCAGCUGCAGGAAAGGAACAAAGAGACAGGUGAUUGAUGCCCGGUGAGAGGGUGAAAGGGACCUAUACCCCCGUCAGCUGCAGGAAAGGAACAAAGAGACAGGUAAUUAAUAUUUAUAUUACUUACUGAUAACAAUCAGGCUAGAUACAACAUCUAAACCUGCAAAGAUGUCAUAGUCUCUACCUUAUACAUGAAGAUAUAUGUGUUUUUAAUAAGUAUAUCGUCUAUAGACAGAUUCUUAUAUAACACAAGCAUGUCUCAGGUACAGAGAUUAGGAACAUUUAUGAUUUCUAAUAUCUGUUUUUUAUUUGUAAUAAUCCCUUUUUCAAUAGACAGACCGCAGAUUUAAGACAUAACUGUACUGUAAAGAAAAAUCUAUAAGUUAAUGUAAAAAAUCACAUACUAUAACUGAUUAUUGCCAUUUAAAACUAUGAAAAAUACAUUAUGUUGAUUAUAAAACAGAAAUACAGAAUGGAGACAACCGUCUGUGGCUCAAGCUCGACUGCCCCUUUCUUUGAGUGGCCCCUCAAUGCUGUGGAAACGGGUGGAGGACAUUGUCUCCAUUAGAAUGGGUCCCCCUACGAUGCUUCGGCUGUUGAUCUGAAGUGCAUUCUGUGCUUUGGAACCUCGGGGGCAAACUGUAUUUCUGUUAUUAAUUUUUAUUUUAGCAAUUCCCACUGCAACAUGGUUAACCUCUAUCCUAAAUUUCUGCACA